AUAUGUUGCUCCCUUACUCUAUAGUCCUGGUGCACUGAUUGCUACAUCGUCUACAUAAAAAACGCCCAGUGGUAAAAUAACCCAUCAACUCUUAGGUCCUCAGAUGGCUAAGGGUGGCUAGGGCAGGUGGUGGCUAUUUGUCAAUCUCUUCCUAAGUGGUUUAAUACUUUAAUGACAACUUUGGUGUAGGUUAAUCAAAACCCUCAUACCCUUAUGCUUGGCAGCAUCAAGAAAAGUGUGAAGGUGUAUUCACAGUACACCAGGGACUGGUCACACUGUGUGGGACAGACACCAUGAGGGAGGCUCUGAUGAACCAUGCUAAGGCUUUCUCUGGCCGGAGAACAAUUGCUGUGCUUCAGCCCAUUAUGCAACACUAUGGUGUGUUCUUUGUCAAUGGGGAAUGCUGGAAGACUCUUCAUUGAUUCGUACUGGCCACCAUGAGAGACUUUGGUAUGAGAAAUUGGAGUGUGAAGAAGAUAAAGGAGGAGUUCAAAUGUUUAGUAGAGGAACUGAAGAAAUACCAGGUGACAUAGAUAACGGAGAGAUGCCUCAACACCCCUUGCCACCUACAGCAGACAGAGGAGCUAGUCCUGUCCUCUACCUGCUGCAGCACUCAGGAAAGCAGACCCAGGACCUCACCUGGACAGCACAGUAAAGCUGGCCCUAUAUGAUGGACUUCCAGGAGUACCAUCUCUGUCUCUUGUCUGCUGGGCAGUAGCACAGAUGAACAAGAGAUGCCCUCCUCCUCUACAUCAUCCCUCCAUAUUUAUGGCAGAUGGGAAAGUCGGCUUAAGGGUCUUGACAGUGAAAGAAACAAGCCACAUACCUUACCAGCUGGACACUAUGGAGAGAGGACCAUGCACCUCAGCAGGGUUGAGCUGGACCUGCUUGUAGGGAUUGUUAGUGAGAUGUUAGAGUGGGUCAUCAGGCUGACAAAUUCAGAAACCUCUCUGUCCCAUAUUCAGGGAUAUGAAUUGGCUCACCCCAACAUCUACCCCAUCAAUUAACUGCUGGAAUGUAUGAAGGGGCAGGUCCUACAAGUCCAAAUCUACAAGAUUUAUAUGACAUAGAGCAACAAUAGGAUAUUUAAAAGGAGUCACAGUCAAAUGCAUGUAUUGACAGAGUUACAGAAACUAGAGCUCUCUUACCAAACCAAUGAGUCUUUGCAUUUUCAAAUAAGGAAAUGUUUAAAAUAAGUUCAAAUAAGAAAAGUGUACUAUGACACAGUACAGAUUCCACAAUGUGGUUUCUCAUCUCUGAUGUUGGGGAAGUCGCAAGGGUGGGAUGUGGGUAUGAUGUGAGUGGAAGAUGAGUGGGAUUAGAGUGCAUGAGUAAAAUUCACAAAGAACCAAUAAAAAGUUUGAAAAAUAAAAAAAAAUAAUGUAUCCUUGGCUCUUUAGCUUUUUAAUCCCACCUCACCUUCCUCCCUAUCCCUGAACCUGUCUCUGCAUCAUCCUAUCUGGAUCUUUAGCAACCA